UACGUAGGGGGCAAGCGUUGUCCGGAUUUAUUGGGCGUAAAGAGCUCGUAGGCGGUUCGGUAAGUCGGGUGUGAAAACUCUGGGCUCAACCCAGAGCCGCCACCCGAUACUGCUGUGACUCGAGUGCGGUAGGGGAGCGGGGAAUUCCUGGUGUAGCGGUGAAAUGCGCAGAUAUCAGGAGGAACACCAGUGGCGAAGGCGGGUCUCUGGGCCGAUACUGACGCUGAGGAGCGAAGGCGUGGGGAGCGAACAGG
rnacentral:rRNA from 1 species